rnacentral:rRNA from 1 species
AUGCAUGACUUUGGGUUGAGGCAGACAUUGUUGGUGUCCAAUCAGUUGAGGCAGACACCAGUGUCCAAGGAGUGGAGGCACACAGAUUAUGUCAUCAUCGACCCACAAGAAAUUGCCAGCAGAUCCAGGCGCGAAGAUAAGAAUAAUAUCAUUAAGGUGCUACUUGGUGAAGCUAGCAAUGCAAAUCUUGCAGUAGUUCCCAUUGUUGGAAUGGGGGGCCUUGGCAAGACCACAUUGGCGCAACUCAUAUACAAUGAACCUGAAAUUCAGAAGCAUUUUCCGUUGCAGCUCUGGGUCUGCAUCUCUGAUACCUUUGAUGUGAAUUCGGUGGCUAAGAGUAUAGUUGAAGCAUCCCCCAAGAAAAAUGAUGAUACAAACAAACCAGCACUGGAUAGACUUCAAAAACUGGUCAGCGGGCAGAGGUAUCUCCUUGUAUUGGAUGAUGUCUGGAACAGAGAGGUCCAUAAGUGGGAAAGGCUGAAGGUCUGUCUUCAACAGGGUGGCAUGGGUAGUGCAGUGUUGACAACAACCCGUGAUAAACAAGUUGCUGAAACUAUGGGUGUAGAUAGAACCUACAAUCUCAAUGUUUUGCAGGAUUACUUCAUAGAGGAAAUUAUUGUGGAUAGAGCAUUCAGUUCAGAGAAUGAAAAGCCUCCCGAGCUGCUCGAGAUGGUUGGUGAGAUUGUGAAGAGAUGUCGUGGCUCUCCUUUAGCUGCAACUGCACUGGGCUCUGUACUUCGUACCAAGACCAGCGUAGAAGAAUGGAAGGUUGUAUCAUCUAGAAGCAGUAUCUGCACUGAGGAAACGGGAAUUUUGCCAAUACUCAAGCUUAGCUACAACGAUUUGCCAGCACACAUGAAGCAAUGCUUUGCUUUCUGUGCCAUAUUUCCCAAGGAUUACAAGAUUAAUGUGGAGAAGCUUAUCCAACUUUGGAUUGCAAAUGGCUUUAUCCCAGAACAGGAGGAAGAUAGUCUUGAAACCGUUGGCAAACAUAUUUUCAGUGAGCUAGCAUCAAGGUCAUUCUUUCUGGACAUAGAGGAAUUUAAGGGUGACAUGCAAAAUCAGCAGUACUGUUUCAGAACUACAUGCAAAAUCCAUGAUCUUAUGCAUGAUAUUGCAAUGUCUGUUAUGGGAAAGGAAUGUGUCGUUGCAAUUAAGGAACCAAGUCAAAUUGAGUGGCUUUCGGAUACUGCUCGGCAUUUGUUCUUGUCAUGUGAUGAAACAGAAGGUAUUUUGAAUGAUUCUUUGGAGAAAAAGUCCCCUGCCAUUCAAACACUGAUAUGCGAUAGUCCUAUUCAAAGCUCAUUGAAGCAUCUAUCAAAAUAUAGCUCUUUGCAUGCCUUGAAGCUCUGUCUGGGAACAGAAUCAUUUCCGCUCAAACCAAAGUAUCUGCAUCACCUGAGGUACCUUGAUCUCUCGUGGAGUGAUAUCGAAGCACUUCCUGAGGAUAUAAGUAUUCUAUAUAACCUGCAAGUGUUGGACCUUUCCGACUGCCGUUAUCUUGAACGACUUCCAAUGCAAAUGAAGUAUAUGACUUUCCUCCGUCACCUCUACACUCAUGGAUGUCCGGGGUUGAAGAGCAUGCCUCCAGGACUAGGAAAACUCACUAACCUACAGACGCUGACAUGGUUUGUGGCAGGAGUUCCUGGUCCUGAUUGCAGUGAUGUUGGAGAGCUGCAGCAUUUAAACCUUGGUGGGCAGCUAGAGCUAUGCCAGUUAGAGAAUAUCGAUAUAGAAACAGAAGCGAAAGUGGCAGAUUUCGGUAAAAAGAAGGAUCUCAGAGAACUGACAUUAAGAUGGAGCUCUGUUUGUGUCAGCAAGGUGCUCAACAAUUUUGAACCUCAUGUUGGGCUGCAGGUUCUGAAGAUAUAUUCCUAUGGAGGAGAGUGCAUGGGUAUGUUGCAGAACAUGGUUGAGAUCCAUCUUUUUCAUUGUGAAAGAUUGCAAUUUUUGUUCAAAUGCAGUACAAUCCUCACUUUUCCAAAACUGAAGGUGCUUAUGCUAGAACAUCUGUUGGGUUUUGAAAGAUGGCCGGAAAUAGAUGAGAGGCAAGAAGAACAAACAAUAUUUCCUGUGCUUGAGAAGUUGUUUAUUAGUAAUUGUGGAAAGUUGGUAGCAUUACCUGAAGCACCAUUGCUGCAAGGACCUUGUGGUGAAGGUGGUUAUACAUUGGUACGCUCAGCGUUUCCUGCCCUAAAGGUACUCAAAAUGAAAGAGUUGGAGAGCUUUCAGAGAUGGGAUGCAGUCGAAGAGACUCAAGGAGAACAUAUAUUGUUUCCUUGUCUAGAGGAACUGUCAAUUGAGAAAUGCCCAAAGCUGAUAAAUUUACCUGAAGCACCAUUGCUUGAAGAACCAUGUAGUGGAGGUGGUUAUAGAUUGGUACGUUCAGCCUUUCCUGCCCUCAAGGUGCUCAAAAUGGAAGACUUGGAGAGCUUUCAGAGAUGGGAUGCAGUUGAAGGGACAUUGUUUCCUGAGCUUGAGAAACUGUCAGUCCAGAAAUGCCCAAAACUGGUAGCAUUGCCCAAAGCACCAAAACUCAGUUUAUUCGAAAUUGAAGAUGGGAAGCAAGAGAUCUUCCACUGUGUAGACAGGUAUUUGUCUUCAUUGACCAAGCUGACACUGAAGCUAGAACACACAGAAACAACAUCAGAGUCUGAAUGCACUUCAAUUGUACUGGUCGACAGCAAAGAGAAAUGGAACCAGAAAUCCCCACUUACAGUUAUGGAGUUAGGACGCUGCAACUCAUUCUUUGGACCAGGUGCACUAGAGCCGUGGGACUAUUUUGUACAUCUUGGAGAGCUGGUAAUUAACAGAUGCGAUGUGCUCAUCCACUGGCCAGAGAAUGUGUUCCAAAGCUUGGUAUCCUUGAGGAUAUUAGUGAUUAGAAACUGCGAAAACCUGACUGGAUAUGCACAGGCUCCUCUUGAGCCAUUGGCGUCCGAAAGGAGUCAACACCUGCCAGGUCUGGAGUCCCUUUAUUUAUAUGAUUGUGUAAAUUUGGUAGAGAUGUUCAACGUUUCGGCAUCUCUCAAGGAAAUGAAUAUUCGUCGGUGCCAUAAGCUUGAGUCCAUAUUCGGCAAGCAGCAGGGCAUGCCGGAGUUAGUCCAAGGAUCUUCUAGCAGUGAGGCAGUCAUGCCUGCAGCUGUAUCAGAGUUGCCAUCCUCACCCAUGAAUCACUUUUGUCCAUGCCUAGAAGAUCUAAGUUUAGUCGAAUGUGGAAGCUUACAAGCGGUUCUAAGUCUGCCUCCAUCCUUAAAGACCAUAUAUAUUUCUGGCUGCAAUAGCAUUCAAGUCCUAUCAUGUCAGCUGGGUGGGCUCCAGAAUCCAGAAGCCACUACCUCCAUAAGCAGAAGUCCUAUCAUGCCAGAGCCACCAGCAGCAACAGCACCAACUGCAAGAGAGCAUUUACUUCCUCCCCAUCUCGAAUAUCUAGCAAUACUGGACUGUGCUGCCAUGUUGGGUGGGACUCUUCGUCUGCCUGCGCCCCUCAAGAGACUGCGCAUUAUUGGCAACAGUGGGCUGACAUCGCUGGAGUGUCUGUCGGGAGAGCACCCCCCAUCGCUGGAAUACCUUUAUCUUGAAAGAUGCAGUACCCUGGCAUCCCUGCCGAAUGAGCCGCAAGUAUACAGGUCUCUCUACUUUGUUGGAAUUACAGGCUGCCCUGCUAUAAAGAAGCUCCCUAGAUGCCUGCAGCAGCAACUGGGCAGCAUUAACAUCAAAGGACUAGAUGCCCGUUAUGAAGUGAUGGCACUUAAACCGAAUACAUGGAAGGAGAUGCCAAGGCUAGUCCGUGAGCGGAGGAAGGCCACUCGACAAGCCAGGGAGCGCCAGCAAGCCAUGCAGGAGUAA